UACGUAGGGUGCAAGCGUUGUCCGGAAUUAUUGGGCGUAAAGAGCGUGUAGGCGGCUUGGUAAGUCCGCUGUGAAAGUCCAGGGCUCAACCCUGGAAAGCCAGUGGAAACUGUCAAGCUAGAGUCCGGAAGAGGCGAGUGGAACUCCUGGUGUAGCGGUGAAAUGCGCAGAUAUCAGGAAGAACACCAAUGGCGAAGGCAGCUCGCUGGGACGGUACUGACGCUGAGACGCGAAAGCGUGGGGAGCAAACAGG
rnacentral:rRNA from 1 species